UCCUGUCAGUGAAGGCAACAUGGCGGACGAACAGGAUCUGGCCAGUUUAGAGGUGCUGUGUAAACAGCUAUAUGAGACGACCAAUGCCACAGAGAGACAGGAGGCUGAGAAAGCCCUGCUAAACUUCACCAACGCUCCAAACUGUUUGAACAAGUGUCAGCUUCUGCUGGAACGAGGGACGUCUGGAUAUGCCCAGCUGUUAGCUGCCUCCUCCCUUACCAAACUGGUGUCCAGGAACUCAGCUGGCUUACCACUGGAGCAGAGGAUUGACAUCAGAAACUAUGUCCUGAACUACUUGGCUACAAGACCAAAGUUGGCCAACUUUGUCACGCAGGCCCUCAUUCUGCUAUAUGCCCGCAUCACAAAGUUGGGCUGGUUUGACUCAGAAAAGGAGGACUUUAUCUUCAGGAAUGUCAUUGAUGAAGUGACAAAAUUGUUACAGGGCUCUGUCGAGCACUGUAUCAUCGGGGUGCAAAUCCUGGCAGAGCUGACUAAUGAGAUGAACCAGCCAGACACAAGUAGGCCUCUCACAAAACACAGGAAGGUUGCAUCGUCUUUUCGUGACACGAUGCUGUAUGAUAUAUUCACCCUGUCCUGUACUUUGCUCAGACAGGCUUCUGGAAAGAACCUUAAUUUCCAAGAUGAGAACCAGGUACAUUCCUUGAUGACACAGCUGCUUCGGCUGGCUCAUAGCUGUCUGACCUUUGACUUUAUCGGAACGUCCACCGACGAGUCCUCAGACGACCUCUGUACUGUUCAGAUUCCGACCAAUUGGAGAACAGUGUUUCUUGACCUUUCAACAGUGACAUUAUUCUUUGACCUGUAUGAGACAUUACCACCAUCACUGUCCCCACUGUCCAUCUCCUGUCUGGUGCAGAUAGCCUCUGUCAGGAGAUCCCUGUUCAACAAUGCAGAAAGGGCCAAGUUCCUGUCCCACCUGGUACAGGGGGUGAAAAGGGUACUCAACAACCCUCAGGGUUUGUCGGAGCCAAGCAAUUACCACGAGUUCUGCCGACUUCUCGCCAGACUGAAGUCAAACUACCAGCUGGGGGAGCUGGUCAAGGUCGACAACUACCCAGAAAUCAUUGCUCUCAUAGCAAAGUUUACAGUGGAGAGUUUACAGAUGUGGCAGUUUGCCCCCAACAGUGUUCACUACCUGCUCAGCCUAUGGCAGCGUAUGGUGGCGUCUGUGCCAUAUGUGAAGGCCACUGAGCCACAUCUACUGGAAACCUACACACCUGAGGUCACCAAGGCAUACAUAACAUCCAGACUGGAGUCUGUUCACCUAGUCAUGAGGGAUGGGUUUGAAGAUCCCCUAGAAGACACUGGGUCCAUACAACAACAACUAGAUCAGCUGUCCACUAUAGGCCGGUGUGAGUAUGAGAAAACAUGUACGCUGCUGAUCCAGUUGUUUGAUGAGUCGGCUCAGGCCUACCAGAGACUGAUCCAGUCACCCGCACCAAACGGCACUGACUUAGCAAUCCAGGAGGGUCGGCUGACAUGGCUGGUGUACAUCAUCGGGGCUGUCAUCGGUGGCCGUGUGUCCUUUGCAAGCUGUGACGAGCAUGAUGCUCUGGAUGGAGAACUCGUCUGCAGAGUCCUGCAGUUGAUGAACUUGACAGACUCACGGCUGGCACAGGGAGGCAGCGAGAAGCUGGACUUGGCCAUGCUCAGCUUCUUUGAGCAGUUUCGAAAGAUCUAUGUAGGCGACCAGGUGCAAAAGACGAGCAAGGUUUACAAGCGACUGUCAGAAGUUCUCGGGCUGAAUGACGAAUCAAUGGUCCUGAGUGUGUUCAUUGGGAAAAUUAUCACCAACUUGAAGUACUGGGGCUCCAGCGAGUCUAUUAUUUCCCGGACACUACAACUCCUGAGCGACUUGUCUGUUGGCUACAGCAGUGUUCGUAAGUUGGUAAAGCUGGAGGCUGUGCAGUUUGUGCUGAAUAAUCAUACGAGCGAACAUUUCCCUUUCCUGGGGGUGAACACGACCAACCCGCUGGGUGACAUGCGGUGUCGGACGACGUUUUACAUUGCCCUGGGGCGGCUGCUGAUGGUGGAUCUGGGGGAGGAUGAGGAGAGGUUUGAACAGUUCAUGCUGCCCCUCACCUCCGCGUUCGAGUCGGUUGGACAGCAGCUGUCCAACAUGGACCGGGGUGGGCCAUUCAAUGAGGAACAGACAAAGAGAACGUUGAUUGGUUUGGCUCGGGACCUCCGAGGGGUGGUGUUCGCCUUCAACACAAAAACCAGCUACAUGAUGCUUUUUGACUGGAUGUACCCCUCCUACCACCCCAUCCUGCUGCGAGCGGCAGAGCUGUGGUACCACGACCCUUUAGUCACCACCCCGGUCCUCAAGCUGAUGGCAGAACUGGUCCAGAACCGGUCUCAGCGGCUGCAGUUUGACGUGUCCUCCCCCAACGGCAUUCUUCUCUUCAGGGAAACCAGCAAGAUGUUGGUCAGCUAUGGGAGUAGAGUUCUAACGUUAGGAGAGGUACCCAAGGACCAGAUCUACGCCCUGAAGUUGAAGGGUAUCGCCAUCUGUUUCUCCAUGCUGAAGGCAGCCCUGUGUGGUGGUUAUGUUAACUUCGGAGUCUUCAGACUAUACGGGGAUGGAGCACUAGAUGAUGCUCUCAACAUAUUUAUCAAACUACUUCUGGCCAUUCCACAUAGUGACUUACUGGACUAUCCAAAGUUGAGCCAAGCCUACUACUCGUUGUUAGAGUGCCUUGCCCAGGAUCACAUGAACUUCAUCAGCAACUUGGACCCCCCAGUGUUCAUGUACAUACUGUCUUCAAUACAGGAGGGGCGUCACAGCUCUAGAUACGAUGGUAUGCACGGGGUGCUGUGCCACACUGGACCACAUUGUCACCUACUUAUUCAAGAGAUUAUCCAAGGGGAACAAAAAACGCCCAACAGCCUCCUCUAUGCAAGAAAACGAUGCAUUCCUGAGAAUACUGGAGGUCCACCCUGAAAUAUUCCAACAGAUGCUGUCCACAGUGCUGAAUAUCAUCAUGUUUGAAGACUGCAGAAACCAGUGGUCGAUGUCCCGUCCACUCCUGGGCCUCAUCCUUCUCAAUGAAGAGGUAACUACUUCAUAUUUCAACGAGUUGAGGAAAACUAUCAUCAGCUCGCAGCCGCCUGACAAGCAGCAGGCCAUGGCACUGUGCUUCGAGAACCUCAUGGAUGGGAUAGAAAGGUCUCUGCUUACAAAGAACAGAGAUAGAUUCACACAAAACCUGUCUGUCUUCAGAAGAGAUGUGAACGAUUCCCUUAAGGCUCCCUCCAGCUCACCUGUAGGCUUAAACUCUGCUGACAUGAUGAACUAAUGUGGUCAAAAACUGGAAAAUCUGCAAUAUACAUGUUAUAAGUUAGACCUGGUCUUGAUGGGAAUCAGAAUCUACACCAGGACUGUCUCCUGCUAUAAUUUCUUUCCAUCCCACUUAUUGUUUUGCAGCACAUACACCUUCCCCAGCUUGGGUUGGUACAGGAAUAUAGUAUAUUGUAAAGCUUGUAAAGCAAGGCUACUGAAGGGGAAAAGUUGUCCUGUGGCACAGAAUACUUGAUAGCGAAAUGAUUUCCAAAUGCUAUAUUUCUAAGCACUUGAUGACCAAGCACUUUGGAUUGUUGCUUCCCACCCAAAGAGGACAAUGUAAUGCCUGUUAUGAAACCAUCCGCCAGCUUGUUUUAAAGACUAUGAUGAUAGUGUUUAUAUACAUGGCACUGAAAUUCAAACCACCUUUGAGGGCGGUGUAUAUGGUGAAGCCUCUUUCCACUAGAGGCUGUGACUGCUGAGCAACCAAAGAUUUGACAGGUUGCUCAAUAAAUUUCAUAGGUACCGAAUUUGUUGUUUUUAAAAACAUACUUGAACAUUGCGCACCAUAUUCCAAUUACAAAAUCAAGGGUCUCAAAAGUCCAACUUUGGUUGUUCAGCGGUCGCGGUCAAAGGGAAAAGUGGAUUUUACUGAGCGUUAUCUGUUGUUGUCUCUCAGUGCUCAUUAUGGAUCAUCAGGGAUGUAAUUGUUGCAUUCUGAAUCAUGGCAAGUACAUUAGGAGGGAAUUUACACUUCUUAAGUCUAGUAUUGUCAGAUGGGACUAGAUACAUGAUGUACAUGUAAGCCAUUUCUAGAAUUUGAAUACAACUUUUGAUAAGAUGAUUAUACUGUAAUGUGGUGGGGGAAAUGUCUUGUAUGUACUGCUUUCUAUAUGAUAUUAA